rnacentral:rRNA from 1 species
GCGGUGCAUUAGCUAGUUGGUAAGGUAAAGGCUUACCGAAGGCGAUGAUGCAUAGCCCGAGUUGAGAGACUGAUCGGGCCACAUUGGGGACUGAGACACGGGGCCAAACUCUACGGGGGAGGGGCAGCAGUAGGGGGAAUCUUCCACAAUGGACGCAAGUCUGAUGGAGCAACGCCGCGUGAGUGAAGAAGGUUUUCGGAUCGUAAAGCUCUGUUGUUGGUGAAGAAGGAUAGAGGUAGUAACUGGCCUUUAUUUGACGGUAAUCAACCAGAAAGUCACGGCUAACUACGUGCCAGCAGCCGCGGUAAU